GGAAAAAAACAGCAAAUGAAAGCAGUCACAUUUAAAGCAAUAAAUCAGAAAGGAAAGAAAAAACAAUGAAAAACAAAAAACCACAAGAUGAAACAGACAAACCAAAACAGAAAAGAAAACCCAAGAGCACAGAGCGCCCCAAAGCGCCUCACAGAAGGAACAACACACGAAAUAGGAAUUAAAAAAGGGGAAAAAAAAAGAGAAAAGCAACAACAAAGACACAUAUUUGACGAAACAGCAACAUAAGAAAUUUUCAAAAACAGAACAAAAGAAAAGAACAAAUGAAAGAAAAACAAAAAUCUAAGCAUAAUACACAAAAAGCAAAAACAACACAAAAGCACAAAACACAAACACUCACAAAAAAGUAGUUUUCCUACUGCACAAGUGGAAAAACAGAAAAUCAAAACAACCACAUUAAAGCAACAAAACCAAAGGCCCACAACAAACCAAAGGCCCACAACAAACCAAAGGCCCACAACAAACCAAAGGCCCACAACAAACCAAAGGCCCACAGAGUUCCCCACAGAAAAGAUCAUUGAAAAAACAAAUGAGAAAAAACACACAAAAUAAAAAUUAAAAAUGAGAAGAAAUUAAGAAAAUUGCAGAACCAAACAGCAAAGAAAAAUACACAGAAAAUCUAUUCACAUUUAAAGCAAGAAAACUGAAAAAAAAAAAAAAUCAAAAAAAAUCAACCAAAAAAACCCACAAAAAAAAAAUCCAAGCACAGAGCGCACCCCACAGAGCUCCCCACAGAAAAAAAACAACAGAAAUAGACAAAUGAAAAAAACACACACAACACAGAAAUUAAAAUAGAGGAGAAAAACAAACAAACAGAAACAGAAAAAGAGAAAAUCAAAACCAAAAGACAAAAACAACCUCCAUAAGUACACAAAACGCACACAUAUGACAAGGAACAGAAACUGGAUCCGAUGUCAUGGCAAAGCAAAGCUGACAAGUGACUGUGGUGCAGGCCGAAAGCUUACCAUGUGUGCCUGGCAGGAGGAAAGGGCAGCUGCCGGGCACGGAUCAGCCAGCCAGCUGAGGAAAAGCCUCAAGGCCAUGGCAAGGAAAGAGGCAAGGGCACCCAGGAGGCGAGAAGCCAUCUGAGCCAUUGAGAAGGAAACCAAAAGAGAAGGCAAGGGAAGCAAAGAAAAGUCAUUCAGAAAAAUGAAUUUUUCUUCCCCACAGAAGAAUAAAAAAAAAGAAAGCAAAAAAAAAACAACACAAAUGGAAAAACAAAUAAAGAAAAAGCAAAGCAAAACAACAAAUGGAAUACAAAGAGAAAGCAAAAAGAAGUCAGCAAAGGAAAGAUAAAAAUAAACGAUCAGGAGGGCUAAUAGCAGGUAAGUAAAGGCGAGGUAAGGGGAAGGGGGGCAGGGAAGGGGGGCAGGGAAGGGGGCAGGGAAGGGGGGCAGGGAAGGGGGCAGGGAAGGGGGGCAGGGAAGGGGGGCAGGGAAGGGAAAAAUGUAAAGGAUGAAAAAGAGAAUCACAAAGGAAUGCAAAGAGAACUAGCUUGAAAAAGGCAGGAAUGGAAAAGAAACAACAAAAGGAAAAAAAAACAGUAGAAGGAAAAAUGAAAGGAGCAGUAAAGGAAAACAAAAUGGAAAG
ensembl:lncRNA